rnacentral:rRNA from 1 species
AAAUUGAAGAGUUUGAUCAUGGCUCAGAUUGAACGCUGGCGGCAGGCCUAACACAUGCAAGUCGAACGGUAACAGGAAGCAGCUUGCUGCUUCGCUGACGAGUGGCGGACGGGUGAGUAAUGUCUGGGAAACUGCCUGAUGGAGGGGGAUAACUACUGGAAACGGUGGCUAAUACCGCAUAACGUCGCAAGACCAAAGAGGGGGACCUUCGGGCCUCUUGCCAUCAGAUGUGCCCAGAUGGGAUUAGCUUGUUGGUGAGGUAACGGCUCACCAAGGCGACGAUCCCUAGCUGGUCUGAGAGGAUGACCAGCCACACUGGAACUGAGACACGGUCCAGACUCCUACGGGAGGCAGCAGUGGGGAAUAUUGCACAAUGGGCGCAAGCCUGAUGCAGCCAUGCCGCGUGUAUGGACAAAGACUGACGCUCAGGUGCGAAAGCGUGGGGAGCAAACAGGAUUAGAUACCCUGGUAGUCCACGCCGUAAACGAUGUCUACUUGGAGGUUGUGCCCUUGAGGCGUGGCUUCCGGAGCUAACGCGUUAAGUAGACCGCCUGGGGAGUACGGCCGCAAGGUUAAAACUCAAAUGAAUUGACGGGGGCCCGCACAAGCGGUGGAGCAUGUGGUUUAAUUCGAUGCAACGCGAAGAACCUUACCUGGUCUUGACAUCCACAGAAGAAUCCAGAGAUGGAUUUGUGCCUUCGGGAACUGUGAGACAGGUGCUGCAUGGCUGUCGUCAGCUCGUGUUGUGAAAUGUUGGGUUAAGUCCCGCAACGAGCGCAACCCUUAUCCUUUGUUGCCAGCGAUUAGGUCGGGAACUCAAAGGAGACUGCCAGUGAUAAACUGGAGGAAGGUGGGGAUGACGUCAAGUCAUCAUGGCCCUUACGACCAGGGCUACACACGUGCUACAAUGGCGCAUACAAAGAGAAGCGACCUCGCGAGAGCAAGCGGACCUCAUAAAGUGCGUCGUAGUCCGGAUUGGAGUCUGCAACUCGACUCCAUGAAGUCGGAAUCGCUAGUAAUCGUGGAUCAGAAUGCCACGGUGAAUACGUUCCCGGGCCUUGUACACACCGCCCGUCACACCAUGGGAGUGGGUUGCAAAAGAAGUAGGUAGCUUAACCUUCGGGAGGGCGCUUACCACUUUGUGAUUCAUGACUGGGGUGAAGUCGUAACAAGGUAACCGUAGGGGAACCUGCGGUUGGAUCACCUCCUUACCUUAAAGAA